rnacentral:rRNA from 1 species
UACGAAGGGGGCGAGCGUUGUUCGGAUUUACUGGGCGUAAAGGGCGCGUAGGCGGCCGAUCAAGUCAGGCGUGAAAGCCCCGGGCUCAACCUGGGAAUGGCGCUUGGGACUGGUUGGCUUGAGUUCGGGAGAGGAGAGUGGAAUUCCCAGUGUAGAGGUGAAAUCGUAGAUAUUGGGAAGAACACCGGUGGCGAAGGCGGCUCACUGGCCCGGUACUGACGCUGAGGUGCGAAAGCGUGGGGGAGCAAACAGGG